rnacentral:rRNA from 14 species
ACAAGCAGUGGGAGCCGACUUGUUCGGUGACUGCGUACCUUUUGUAUAAUGGGUCAGCGACUUACAUUCAGUGGCAAGCUUAACCGAGUAGGGAAGGCGUAGCGAAAGCGAGUCCGAAUAGGGCGUCUAGUCGCUGGGUGUAGACCCGAAACCAGAUGAUCUAUCCAUGGCCAGGUUGAAGGUUGGGUAACACCAACUGGAGGACCGAACCCACUAACGUUGAAAAGUUAGGGGAUGAGCUGUGGAUAGGGGUGAAAGGCUAAACAAAUCUGGAAAUAGCUGGUUCUCCCCGAAAACUAUUUAGGUAGUGCCUCGAGUCUCACUACAGGGGGUAGAGCACUGUUAUGGCUAGGGGGUCAUCGCGACUUACCAAACCAUGGCAAACUCCGAAUACCUGUAAGUGCAAUCUCGGGAGACAGACAUCGGGUGCUAACGUCCGGUGUCAAGAGGGAAACAACCCAGACCGCCAGCUAAGGUCCCUAAUAUCUGCUAAGUGGAAAACGAAGUGGGAAGGCUAAAACAGUCAGGAGGUUGGCUUAGAAGCAGCCAUCAUUUAAAGAAAGCGUAAUAGCUCACUGAUCGAGUCGUCCUGCGCGGAAGAUGUAACGGGGCUAAGCAGAUAACCGAAGCUGCGGAUGUACACGUAAGUGUAUGUGGUAGGGGAGCGUUCUGUAAGCCUGCGAAGGUGUGUUGUAAAGCAUGCUGGAGGUAUCAGAAGUGCGAAUGCUGACAUGAGUAGCGA